rnacentral:rRNA from 1 species
AGAGUUUGAUUCUGGCUCAGGAUGAACGCUAGCUACAGGCUUAACACAUGCAAGUCGAGGGGCAGCAUUGGAGUAGCAAUACUCAGAUGGCGACCGGCGCACGGGUGAGUAACACGUAUCCAACCUGCCGCUUACUCGGGGAUAGCCUUUCGAAAGAAAGAUUAAUACCCGAUGGUAUAAAGAGUUCGCAUGUUCUCUUUAUUAAAGAAUUUCGGUAAGCGAUGGGGAUGCGUUCCAUUAGAUAGUUGGCGGGGUAACGGCCCACCAAGUCUACGAUGGAUAGGGGUUCUGAGAGGAAGGUCCCCCACAUUGGAACUGAGACACGGUCCAAACUCCUACGGGAGGCAGCAGUGAGGAAUAUUGGUCAAUGGACGAGAGUCUGAACCAGCCAAAGUAGCGUGAAGGAUGACUGCCCUAUGGGUUGUAAACUUCUUUUAUAAGGGAAUAAAGUGAGGGACGUGUCCCUUUUUGUAUGUACCUUAUGAAUAAGGAUCGGCUAACUCCGUGCCAGCCGCCGC